rfam:Harpegnathos saltator strain R22 G/1 HarSal_1.0_3.contig3230, whole genome shotgun sequence.
GUCAACGUUCAUACCACGUUGAAAAUACCAGUUCUCGUCCGAUCACUGAAGUCAAGCAACGUUGGGCACGGUUAGUACUUGGAUGGGUGACCACUUGGGAACACCGUGUGAUGUUGGCA